rnacentral:rRNA from 1 species
AUUGAACGCUAGCGGGAUGCUUUACACAUGCAAGUCGAACGAGUGGCGGACGGGUGAGUAAUAUAUCGGAACGUGCCCAAUAGCGGGGGAUAACUACUCGAAAGGGUAGCUAAUACCGCAUACCAUCGGAUCUGCCGAUAUGGGAUUAGCUAGUUGGUGGGGUAAAGGCUCACCUAGGCGACGAUCCCUAGCUGGUCUGAGAGGAUGACCAGCCACACUGGAACUGAGACACGGUCCAGACGCCUACGGGAGGCAGCAGUGGGGAAUAUUGGACAAUGGGCGCAAGCCGGAUGCAGCCAGACCGCGUGAAUUAAGAAUGCCGUCGGGUUGGAAAGUACUUUCAGAGGGGAGGCGUUAUCCGCAGAAGAAGCACCGGCUAACUCCGUGCCAGCAGCCGCGGUAAUUC